UCAUUCCGUGCUGAAUAUACCAGUUCUUUUCUGAUCACUGAAGUUAAGCAUCAUGGGGCAUGGUCUGUACUUAGGAGGCCGAUCAUCUGGGAACACCGAGUGCCGU